GAUGAACGCUGGCGGCGUGCCUAAUACAUGCAAGUCGAGCGAAGCGGGGACGGGUGAGUAACACGUGGAAAACCUCCGAUAAGAACGGGAUAACUUCGGGAAACAGGAGCUAAACCGGAUAAUUAUAGAUGGAUCCGCGCUGCAUUAGCUAGUUGGUAAGGUAACGGCUUACCAAGGCAACGAUGCAUAGCCGACCUGAGAGGGUGAUCGGCCACACUGGAACUUAGACACGGUCCAGACUCCUACGGGAGGCAGCAGUAGGGAAUCUUCCGCAAUGGGCGAAAGCCUGACGGAGCAACGCCGCGUGAGUGAUGAAGGUCUUCGGAUCGUAAAACUCUGUUGUUAGGGAAGCGGUACCUAACCAGAAAGCCACGGCUAACUACGUGCCAGCAGCCGCGGUAAUAC
rnacentral:rRNA from 1 species